rnacentral:misc_RNA from 1 species
CCUUAGCCCCGAUAGUAGCGGUUACCCCACAGCGGUGAAGGAAAAGUCUGGCGCGAGGAGUAUGAGCGGAUAGCGGGAAAUAGC